CCCGCUCAGGACGAACGCUGGCGGCGUGCUUAACACAUGCAAGUCGAGCGGUAAGGCCCUUCGGGGUACACGAGCGGCGAACGGGUGAGUAACACGUGGGUAACCUGCCCUGCACUUUGGGAUAACCUCGGGAAACCGGGGCUAAUACCGGACAUGACAUGCCAUCGCAUGGUGGUGUGUGGAAAGUUCCGGCGGUGUGGGAUGGGCCCGCGGCCUAUCAGCUUGUUGGUGGGGUGAUGGCCUACCAAGGCGACGACGGGUAGCCGGCCUGAGAGGGCGACCGGCCACACUGGGAAUGAGACACGGCCCAGACUCCUACGGGAGGCAGCAGUGGGGAAUAUUGCGCAAUGGGCGAAAGCCUGACGCAGCGACGCCGCGUGAGGGAUGACGGCCUUCGGGUUGUAAACCUCUUUCAGCGCCGAAGAAGCGAAAGUGACGGUAGGCGCAGAAGAAGCACCGGCUAACUACGUGCCAGCAGCCGCGGUAAUACGUAGGGUGCGAGCGUUGUCCGGACUUAUUGGGCGUAAAGAGCUCGUAGGCGGUUUGUCGCGUCGGCUGUGAAAACCUGGGGCUUAACCCUGGGCGUGCAGUCGAUACGGGCAGACUUGAGUUCGGCAGGGGAGACUGGAAUUCCUGGUGUAGCGGUGAAAUGCGCAGAUAUCAGGAGGAACACCGGUGGCGAAGGCGGGUCUCUGGGCCGAUACUGACGCUGAGGAGCGAAAGCGUGGGGAGCGAACAGGAUUAGAUACCCUGGUAGUCCACGCCGUAAACGGUGGGCGCUAGGUGUGGGGGAUUUCCACGUCCUCCGUGCCGUAGCUAACGCAUUAAGCGCCCCGCCUGGGGGAGUACGGCCGCAAGGCUAAAACUCAAAGGAAUUGACGGGGGCCCGCACAAGCGGCGGAGCAUGUGGAUUAAUUCGAUGCAACGCGAAGAACCUUACCUGGGUUUGACAUGCACCGGACAGCCUCGGAGACGGGGUUUCCGCAAGGUCGGUGUACAGGUGGUGCAUGGCUGUCGUCAGCUCGUGUCGUGAGAUGUUGGGUUAAGUCCCGCAACGAGCACAACCCUUAUUCCAAGUUGCCAGCACGUAAUGGUGGGGACUCAUGGGAGACUGCCGGGGUCAACUCGGAGGAAGGUGGGGACGACGUCAAGUCAUCAUGCCCCCUAUGUCCAGGGCUUCACACAUGCUACAAUGGCCGGUACAAAGGGCUGCUAAACCGUGAGGUGGAGCGAAUCCCAUAAAGCCGGUCUCAGUUCGGAUCGGGGUCUGCAACUCGACCCCGUGAAGUCGGAGUCGCUAGUAAUCGCAGAUCAGCAACGCUGCGGUGAAUACGUUCCCGGGCCUUGUACACACCGCCCGUCACGUCACGAAAGUCGGUAACACCCGAAGCCCAUGGCCCAACCCGCAAGGGGGGGAGUGGUCGAAGGUGGGACUGGCGAUUGGGACGAA
rnacentral:rRNA from 1 species